CUCUCUCUCUCUCUCUCUCUCUCUACAUUGAAAAUUAAAAAAAAAAAUGAGACAAAUUUGUUAUCAAUCAACUGAAGAAACUAUAGCUAAAUUGCAAUUUCUCAGAGGAAGAAGAUUAUUGCGCACUAGCUUCAAAGUACUCAAACUUCCAAUAGCAAAUAAGAAGAUAAGGACUGCACUCCCAAACAGCCACCUCACAUCUUCUCAUUAAUAUAUUAGAAGAACGAAAAUCUUAUUCCAUUGCUUGCUGCAAACAAAUUGUAUUCUUCCAUAGUAGCCUCUUUCUUAUUGCAAGCAGGAUCAUUUUCAACUUGAUCCGCUGAAACUUUAGAAGAAAGAUCUCCAACAAUUCCAUCUUCUGAAGGCACAGAACCUGGUUUACAUCCUGUUGAGAGAGCUACAGGCCCACCAAAAUGGAACAAGGAAAAACUGGUGUUACUAACAAGUGAUUUGGCAGAAUUAUCCACUUUUCCACCUUCUCCACUUGGCAGCACUUCUGUUGGACGUGAUCCAGCUGAUGCCACCUUCUCUGUCUUAGCUUCUUUAAGAGCUUCCUGCUCCAUGCACAUCUUCCUUUGCUCCUCUGAGUUCAAGCCAUUUGUUUUGCCAACUGGCUGAUAAACUGGCACCGGACCAGGAUUAAAAAUGGGAGUUGCCAAAUGCUGCACAGGACUAUACUGCAUGCAUAACCGUGAGUUUCCAUUUAAACCAUAGCUAAGAGGGCCAGCAUA
rnacentral:misc_RNA from 1 species